rnacentral:rRNA from 1 species
UUGAACGCUGGCGGUAUGCUUAACACAUGCAAGUCGAACGGAAACGAUACUAGCUUGCUAGUAGGCGUCGAGUGGCGGACGGGUGAGUAACGCGUAGGAAUCUGCCUGAUAGUGGGGGAUAGCCCGAAGAAAUUCGGAUUAAUACCGCAUAAUCUAUUCGUAGUAAAGUGGGGGACUUUCGAGCCUCACGCUAUCAGAUGAGCCUGCGUAAGAUUAGCUUGUUGGUAGGGUAAAAGCCUACCAAGGCGACGAUCUUUAGCUGGUCUGAGAGGAUGAUCAGCCACAUCGGGACUGAGACACGGCCCGAACUCCUACGGGAGGCAGCAGUGGGGAAUAUUGGACAAUGGGGGCAACCCUGAUCCAGCAAUACCGCGUGUGUGAAGAAGGCCUGAGGGUUGUAAAGCACUUUCAAUUGUGAAGAAAAGUUAACGGUUAAUAACCGUUAGCCUUGACGUUAACUUUAGAAGAAGCACCGGCUAACUCCGUGCCAGCAGCCGCGGUAAUACGGAGGGUGCAAGCGUUAAUCGGAAUUACUGGGCGUAAAGCGUGCGUAGGCGGUUUAUUAAGUCAGAUGUGAAAGCCCCGGGCUUAACCUGGGAACUGCAUUUGAAACUGGUCAACUAGAGUAUGGUAGAGGAAAGUGGAAUUUCUGGUGUAGCGGUGAAAUGCGUAGAUAUCAGAAGGAACAUCAAUGGCGAAGGCAGCUUUCUGGACCAAUACUGACGCUGAGGUACGAAAGCGUGGGUAGCAAACAGGAUUAGAUACCCUGGUAGUCCACGCCGUAAACGAUGAUAACUAGCCGUUGGGGGGAUUUACCCUUUAGUGGCGAAGCUAACGCGUUAAGUUAUCCGCCUGGGGAGUACGGCCGCAAGGUUAAAACUCAAAGGAAUUGACGGGGACCCGCACAAGCGGUGGAGCAUGUGGUUUAAUUCGAUGCAACGCGAAGAACCUUACCUGGUCUUGACAUCCUGCGAACUUUCUAGAAAUAGAUUGGUGCCUUCGGGAACGCAGUGACAGGUGCUGCAUGGCUGUCGUCAGCUCGUGUCGUGAGAUGUUGGGUUAAGUCCCGUAACGAGCGCAACCCCUAUCCUUAUUUGCCAGCACAUCAUGGUGGGAACUAUAAGGAGACUGCCGGUGAUAAACCGGAGGAAGGCGGGGACGACGUCAAGUCAUCAUGGCCCUUACGACCAGGGCUACACACGUGCUACAAUGGGAAGGACAAAGAGCCGCGAAGCCGCGAGGUGUAGCUAAUCUCAUAAACCUUUUCGUAGUCCGGAUUGGAGUCUGCAACUCGACUCCAUGAAGUCGGAAUCGCUAGUAAUCGUAGAUCAGAAUGCUACGGUGAAUACGUUCCCGGGUCUUGUACACACCGCC